GUCGUCGAUGGGGUCAACUAAGUGUUUGAUGUUCACCUUCCUUGCGUUGUAGUAAUUACCAUCCGCGGCCCUUCCCGCACGCUCUACGGCCACCAGAUGGUCGAAUCUGCCCAGAACCAAUGGUGCCCAGGAGUCUGACCAAGGAGGACCUACUGUGUGCAAGGGCCGUCACAGGGUUCUAAUUCACUACAUUGUUGGUGGGAAGACACAGCCCUGGACGGAUGGAUGCCAGAAGCCGGAGGAGUCCCUGCGACCUCCACCCAGGAAGAGACACUUAAAAACCUUGUCAGCAAGGUUACAAGGAUGUGGUCUUCCCUACCACAUGCACUCCAUUUGGGGUACAAUAUACAUACCUAGGAGACUUGGGGUCCCCAUCUUUGCACAGAAAUGCCCGAGCAUCUUCCACGGAUCCUCCUCGGUAAGUUAAUAUGGGGAUUGGUGUCUUGAGAACUCCUUGAGAAUAAAGACAAUGGGUAGCCUCGUCAGUGCUGGGGCCUGGUAUGCUUUGGGAAAGUAUCUUCAGACAGUUUUUUAACCAUUAUUGAAUGGUCUCCCUCAAUACGCUUUCAUAGAACUCAUAGGCUUACUUUUAGUUCUGACUGAACUACAGUUGACAGGGGAUGGAGGGUUGAACUAGAUCGGUAUAGACCUGAGGAUAUGUGGUGUGUUAAAUGCUCUAUAACACCAAGUCAACAGAAGGUCUGUUCUGGCCCGUUGCCAGCAAGAAUACUGAGUACAGUUUAGAUGCCCAGAUGACAGUGGCCCGGCAUUUGACAAGGACGCUCUCAUUUAAAUGUCAUAUUCAUGUUCCAAAUGUAAUCAUUACUUUGCAUUUUACAGAAGAAGAAAACGGAUGCUCAGACACCAAGGAAGUUGGUCAGAGUCAGCUAUAGCGUCUCUGUUGGCCAUCACAGCUCCGGUUCUGUCUUAGUUUAAUUUUUGUCUUGUGAUACGACACCCCGACCGAAGGCAAUUUAGGGGAAGAAAGGGUUAAUUAGUGUGCAAUGCUAAUCCGCAGUCCAUCACUGAAGGGAAGGAAGUUGAGGCAGGACCUUGAGCAAUUACAUUACAUCCACAGUCAAGAGCAGUCGCUACCUGCUUGCUGCUGGCUUCCUCCUCUUUUAAACUAUCUGGGAGCCCCUACCCAGGGAAUGGUUGUGCCCACAGUCCCACACAGACAUGUCCGCAAGCCAGCUUGAUCUUUUGUCAGGUUGUAGCAGAAUGUAGACAUUUUAAAACCAGCCAUUAAAUUCCUGUUCCUAGACCUUACUAGUUCCCUCUCCAGACAAACAUUCCUUCAGAGGAGAUCAAGAACAACGGAGGCAGAGUCCCAGAGACUUGGGUUAGUGUGGGGCCAGGGAGUCAUGGGAUGGGGGUAGCAGGCCAUGGGCAAGAGUGAAGUUGAGGUGUGUCCAAACCCCAGAAAUCUUGUUGUGUGAUCGGCAGGAGUUGGAUCGCUCCCCUGCUCCCCAGGUCUUGCACGUCCUGGCACAUGUGUAGCCCUGCACCCCCACCUUUGACCCUCCCCCCACAAAGAGGUCACAUAGCCCUCUAGCCAGGUUAAACUCUCCCCUUAUAAGGUCAUGUCCAGCAGCACCUGGAAUCCCUCUUUAUGUAAAUGAGGCAUUCCAAGAACCCUGGCCUGGACCAAUGAUGUACACUCACCCCAAAAGCCCCACCCACCCCCAAAGGUUUAAGAAGCUUUCGUUCCCCCCAUUAAGUGAGUUGUCCCACUUAAGCUGUCCCCCAAGAGUCUGUUCUCUCUGUACUAUGCUCACAGCUGCUUGUGAAUCUCUUUUGAUCCCGGUCUUAUUGUCUCUCUUCUCCACUCAGAAUCCAAUGGUUGCAGUUGAGGCCAUCAAAGGCAGGUUAGUACUUGUAUGGUAGUGAUUACAAAGUGAAGUCGAUUGUUAAAAAAAAGAAUGUUUUGUGAUUACACAAACAAAACACGUUAUUGUAGAUUAUGUGGGAAAUUAAUAUACACAUAUCUCUCCAAAUCAAAUCCAUUUGGUUUUCAUUAGCCUAUGUCUCAGAAGUUUGGGGCAAAAUCCUGGCUUAUCCACAGGCCCAGGGCAAAUCUUCAAGCAGAAGGAAAGAUGGCCAACAGGGCACCCUAGUCAGUGUCCCUGGACUCAGGACUUAGAGGUGUGUGACUGUGGAUAAGCUACACGAACUCUCUGAGGGCCUCCUCUGUAGAGUAAUGGCCACUGGGUUGCAAUGCUAGGGUGGCACCAUAAUGGUCUCGAUACCUGUCAGUUUCCUGGCCGGGGUCUGGUGCAAGUGAGUGCAGCCGUCCCUCAGUUCCCUGACUGCACUGCGUCAGGUGCUACUCAGGGGAGUGGGUACCAGGGAGCCCAGCCAGGCAACAUGAGCCAUGUGUCUGAGAAAGGACACACAAGAUCCCUAUCAAGAGGUCAGAGAGAUGCAGUUCCCUCCUCAGAGCUACAGAGUGCGAUCCUCCUCUGGGCUUGUGCCCCUGACAGGGGAGAAGGGAUUCUGCCUUUUGUUUUUUCUCUAGGUCGUUUCCUACGCCUCAGUAAAAAAGACUGCGGUAGUAAUCAUGAACAAGUCCAGUUGCUGCAUUGGCUUAAUCCAAACCCAACCAAAGUUCUGGGCCUGGCUGUGGUGAUGGCACACAGCUUUGAUCCCAGAACCUGGGAGGCAGAGGCAGGCGGAUCUGAGUUUGAAGCCAGCCUGGUCUGCAGAAUGAGUUCCAGGACAGCCAGGCUCGGCUGAACUCCCAGGAGAAGAGCAGGGCACAGCGCUCUCUCUCUCUCUCUCUCUCUCUCUCUCUCUCUCUCUCUCUCUGUCUCUCUCUCUCUCUCUCUCUGGAUAAUUAAUGCUAAACAUAGCUACAGAGCAGAGUCAGGUGGCACCUCCUGCUGGCCCUGGAGCAGAACUUGACACGGUCAUAUGUCCUGUGAUUUUUCUGGUCUCACUGGCUGAUCUGUCUCGUAUUCCUCGAUGCCUCCUCUCCUUUCUCCUUGUGAGGGACCCCAAGGUGGAAUCCCGGCUUUGUCCCUGUUUAUCCCCACAGUGCUCUCCCUAGAGUGUCCCCGUAGAGGUCACAUGUAACUGGUAUCAGCCUCCUUUUUCACAGAACAAACAACCUCUAUUCUUAAACAUUUUGGUUGCCCUGCAGCCAAGACUUGAGAUGGGUGAAGGUAGUUUCCGGGGAGACAGAGCCAAGAAGCUGAGGGAAGGGAUAGGGAAAGAGAGAGAGAGAGAGAGAGAGAGAGAGAGAGAGAGAGAGAGAGAGUGCGUGUGUGUGUGUGUGUGUGUUUGAGUGUUCUCUAAGAUUUAUGUCAUGGGGUUCUGGAUUGGGUUCACAGAGCUUUGGACCUCCAGGGUACUGACUAGUUAGUGGUGAUGGUGGGGACUGGCCGUCGAGUGGACAGCAGUGGUUGAUAAGAUCACUUGGACUUUCUGGAACCUCAACAUCUUUUUCUACAGAAUGAAACUCUCAUUGCUUAUAACAAAGCUCUAGGCUUGGAGGUAAAACACCGUUACAAGGAAACAUUCUGGAACUGGGUACAUGGCUGAAGACCGGCACAUUGAUUUCCUCCAGUACCCGCUUGGGGACAGAAAAUGACCCACAUCACCGCUCACCUUGCUUCACGGCAUCUUCAACAAUCUUCGUAUGCAAGUUCAAGGCUCUCCGGUCUACCACCAUGGCGGCCUCCUUCCCCAGAGCCUGUAGGAAGGCAGCUAAAGCGAUAGCUCCCGGUGGGCCAUCCGUCUCUUCUGGGGGCUCGUGACUGAAAUGUGUCGGGAAUCCAGUGGUGACCAGUACGGAGUGCGCGUGAGACAGUGACAGAGCUGCCAGCAGUAACUCAUCUUUAAGUAGCAGGUGCCCAAUUCCCCGGUUACCUAAAACCACAAAGAUAACGUAACCUAUCUGGCUGGUUGUGUUUAAGGGAGAUCCGCUGAUAGUUUGGGCCGGUUUUGGUCCAGAAGUCAUGUGGAGGGAUGAGGCAGUCUGACCCCUCCAUAUGCAUUCUUGUCUCUCUGCCUCCCACCUCUCUCUUAGCCACAAGACUGGUUCGGUCUCGAGGCACAUGAAUUGAUGGGUGCCCCGCUGAGCCUGGCCCUAUGUUUCCCUAUGUCUCACCAAUCACCUCCCUCUUUUUGUCGGAAAUGUUGAUUGAUAGCUACAGCAGGUGUGAUGCAGAACCUUUGGGACCCUAAGCGGAUGGGUAAAGCGGGAGUCCCUCCCUUUUAACCCAGACACUCUGAAGUCAUGCUGUGUGCUGUUACAGGGAGGUGACACAGGCUUCUAUGGCUUUUGGGCAAAGUAUGUUGAAGGCAAAGUAUGCUAUUAGAAUCAUUUAGUAAAGCCUAACUAAUAAAAGAAUAUAUAAGGAGGAAAUGGUACACAUUUAUAGGUGAGUCCUUCCCACAAGCCCAAGACAGGGUCUCCUGUGCAAUCUAUUCCAGGAGAUGAUAAUUCUGGAAAACAUAGCAGGAGAUGAGACCCAGAAAACCAAUGAAAGAUUGAGAGUGGCAAGUUAACCCUCGAGGCAACUGGAACUCUGUCCUACCUGAGACCCACGGAGGAUGCACCCUAGAAUUGUCCUAUCAGAGGACCAGAGGUUGCCUUUGUGUUCAUUGGCUUCUGUCCCCUGCUGGGAGAGGGAUGCCAUUAGGGUGUCAACUACAUUGCACCUCCGACUGUACCUCCUAUAAGAGUCAGAUAUUGACUGCCCUCUAGUGGAGGAGCUGAGCAAGUGGGGAGCUAGCCAUUGCCUCUGUAGAGGAACCCAGUUAGUCCCAAGACACGUGUGGGGGGCAAUAGUUGGUGCUACGGUGGGGCCUGCUGAGCAACCCCACUUCCUGACUCUUGUUCAUGCCAGCGCGCCUCUGUCUACCCUCAGAUCUCCUCUACACAAGUGCCUUACGGAGGAGGCGAAGUGUGACUCAACUCUCACCCGAGCCGAGCUGCCUCUAGAGCCGGCCAAAGGGAUGUAGAGGGGCAUUGACUUACAGUUGGGGUUCACAGAGAGCACGAAUAACGCUGGCUUUGAAACCCUACUAUGGAGUCACUGCUCCAGACCGAGUGUAAUUCCAGUACAGGACCUGGCACAUUACAGCUGUGUGUCUUUGGUUCUAUAUUUGGGUUCUUCUACUGGAAAACAGGGAGGGUAGCACCGAUGGAGGAAGUCCAUGGGGACAGAGGCUCCCACCUAUUGGUUUUUGGAGUCGGAACUGGAAGCUGGGCCUGAAAGGUGAAUUUUUUUUUCAAUUCACCUGUUUUUUUUCAAUUCAUGUGUUUUUACAAUUCUCCCAUCUGGUGUCUGACAUCCCAAAUAAAGUAGUCAUAGGCAUUUGUAAAAUUUAGUGAGAAGGGUGUUUACUGUGGCGUUGUUUAGGGUAUCAAGGAUGGAUUAUUAGUCAAAUGGUGGCAUGCUCACACAAUGGAUCCUUUAAAAAGGAUGUUGUGAGCUGAGGGACUCGUUCCUGUGAUCCCAGCUCUCCUCUGGGGAGACUGAGGCAAGUGGAUUGCAGAGAGUUCAAGGCUAGCCUGGGCUAUAAAGUGAAAGUCUGUCUCAGGCAAAUAGUGUGUAGAUGUCAUGGAAAUUAUUUCAUUACAGUUUAUUUUUAAAAGUCUUAAAAUAGCAUCACAGUGGGGUUCCAGUUGCACAUAUUCCUGUAUGCAAAUUAUUUGAGAUAAAAAGGACUUCAAAGGCAAACACAAACCUGUUGAUAAUCUAUUGAUUGUAAUGGAUUCUGGUAUUUAAAAAAAAGUGGGUUGGGGAUUUAGCUCAGUGGUAGAGCGCAAGGCCCUGGGUUCGGUCCCCAGCUCCGGAAAAAAAAAAAGUUGUGGAUAGGUGUAUGUGUUUGUAUGCGUUCUUGUGCAUGUGUGUUUGUGUGAAUGUGCACAUGGAGGCCAGAGAUUGAUAUCAUGAGCCUUUGGUGACUUGCUCAAAUUAAUUGAAAUAAAACUUUAUGUUUUUGUUUUGUUUUUUUGAGGCAGGGUCUCUCACUGAACCUGGACCUCACUGACUUGGCUCGGCUCGGCUGACUGGCCAGUGAGCCUCAAGGAUCCCCUUGUCUGUCUUCUUAGUCCUGGAAUUCCAGGCACCCGCUGCUGUGCCCUGGUUCUUGUGUGUGUGCUGGGGACUGAACCCAGCUCCCCCUCCUGCUGACCCGGCAAGCAUUUAACUAACUGAGCUAUGUCCCCAGGCUCCAGGAUUCGGACGGAAUCAGCACAUCAGACAGUCAUCAAUCUGCCUCCUCGGGGACUCAUGCUUCAAGACCCGUACCAGUCUGCAGGAGCGCCGAUGGGAGGCAGGCGUUGCGUCUGACCUCUCCGCUCAUCCUUACAAAGCGAUGGAUGAACAAGGCAGCCGUAAAUCUGCUGUCUGCGCCUUCUUUUAAACUCAGAGCUAAUUACAGAGUUAAUAAUUCAUCUUUCCUCGUGACACUAUGUUAAAUGGGGGAGCCAUCACCUUGGGACUGUCUGGGAGGGAGAAACCAUUAUAGGAAAAAAUUAAAUAUGUACUCAGGAAAGUAAGGAAGUAAACUUUUUAAAAACUA